GAUUUCAUAAUUUAAGUAAAAUAUUGAUCUUGUACAUCAAAAUUGGGUUUCCUGAAAUUA
rnacentral:tRNA from 1 species